rnacentral:rRNA from 1 species
AACGAACGCUGGCGGCAUGCCUAACACAUGCAAGUCGAACGAGACCUUCGGGCCUAGUGGCGCACGGGUGCGUAACGCGUGGGAACCUGCCCUUAGGUUCGGAAUAACUCCCCGCAAGGGGUGCUAAUACCGGACAAUGUCUUCGGACCAAAGAUUUAUCGCCUUUGGAUGGGCCCGCGUUGGAUUAGCUAGUUGGUAGGGUAAAAGCCUACCAAGGCGACGAUCCAUAACUGGUCUGAGAGGAUGAUCAGCCACACUGGGACUGAGACACGGCCCAGACUCCUACGGGAGGCAGCAGUGGGGAAUAUUGGACAAUGGGCGAAAGCCUGAUCCAGCAAUGCCGCGUGAGUGAUGAAGGCCUUAGGGUUGUAAAGCUCUUUUACCCGGGAUGAUAAUGACAGUACCGGGAGAAUAAGCUCCGGCUAACUCCGUG